CCGCUGAACUUAAGCAUAUCAAUAAGCGGAGGAAAAGAAACCAACAGGGAUUGCCUCAGUAACGGCGAGUGAAGCGGCAACAGCUCAAAUUUGAAAUCUGGCCCUUUCGGAGUCCGAGUUGUAAUUUGUAGAGGAUGCUUCGGGUACGGCUCCGGUCUAAGUCCCUUGGAACAGGGCGUCAUAGAGGGUGAGAAUCCCGUACGUGACCGGCGACCACGCCCAUGUGAAGCUCCCUCGACGAGUCGAGUUGUUUGGGAAUGCAGCUCAAAACGGGUGGUAAAUUUCAUCUAAAGCUAAAUAUUGGCCAGAGACCGAUAGCGCACAAGUAGAGUGAUCGAAAGAUGAAAAGCACUUUGGAAAGAGAGUUAAACAGUACGUGAAAUUGUUGAAAGGGAAGCGCUUGCAACCAGACUUGCCCGUGGGUGAUCAGCCGGUAUUUUUACCGGUGCACUCGCCCGUGGUCAGGCCAGCAUCGGUUUGGGCGGCUGGAUAAAGACCCCCGGAACGUAGCUCCUCUCGGGGAGUGUAAUAGCCGGGGGUGCAAUGCGGCCCGCCCGGACCGAGGACCGCGCUUCGGCUAGGAUGCUGGCGUAAUGGUUGCAAGCGACCCGUCUUGAAACACGGACCA
rnacentral:rRNA from 1 species